CUCACCGGGGGCGACAGCAAUAUGUAGGUCAAGCUAAAGACUUUACCAGAAUCGCUGAGAGGAGGUGCAUGGCCGUCGUCAGUUCGUACUGUGAAGCGUCCUGUUAAGUCAGGCAACGAGCGAGACCCGUGCCCACUGUUGCCAGCAUGUCCUUCGGGACGAUGGGUACUCUGUGGGGACCGCCGAUGCUAAAUCGGAGGAAGGUGCGGGCUACGGUAGGUCAGUAUGCCCCGAAUCUCCCGGGCUACACGCGGGCUACAAUGACUGGGACAAUGGGCUCCUACCCCGAAAGGGGAUGGUAAUCUCAUAAACCCAGCCGUAGUUCGGAUCGAGGGCUGCAACCCGCCCUCGUGAAGCUGGAAUCCGUAGUAAUCGCGUUUCAACAUAGCGCGGUGAAUACGUCCCUGCUCCUUGCACACACCGCCCGUCAAACCACCCGAGUGAGGUAUGGGUGAGGGCAUGGACAUUGUGCUGUGUUCGAACCUAAAUUUUGCAAGGGGGGUUAAGUCGUAACAAGGUAACCAAGGGCGAAUUCCAGC
rnacentral:rRNA from 1 species